rnacentral:tRNA from 1 species
GCCGGGGUGGCGAAAUCGGCAGACGCGUGAGACUCAAAAUCUCAAGCCGCUUAUGCGGCGUGGGGGUUCAAGUCCCCCCUCCGGCA